rnacentral:rRNA from 1 species
UACGUAGGGUGCUAGCGUUAUCCGGAUUUACUGGGCGUAAAGGGUGCGUAGGUGGUCUUUCAAGUCGGUGGUUAAAGGCUACGGCUCAACCGUAUUAAGCCGCCGAAACUGGAAGACUUGAGUGCAGGAGAGGAAAGUGGAAUUCUCAGUGUAGCGGUGAAAUGCGUAGAUAUUAGGAGGAAUACCAGUGGCGAAGGCGACUUACUGGACUUCAACUGACGCUGAGGAACGAAAGCAUGGGUAGCAAACAGG